rnacentral:rRNA from 1 species
UGCUUGGGAACAUGCCUUGAGGUGGGGGACAACAGUUGGAAACGACUGCUAAUACCGCAUAAUGUCUACGGACCAAAGGGGGCUUCGGCUCUCGCCUUUAGAUUGGCCCAAGUGGGAUUAGCUAGUUGGUGAGGUAAUGGCUCACCAAGGCGACGAUCCCUAGCUGGUUUGAGAGGAUGAUCAGCCACACUGGGACUGAGACACGGCCCAGACUCCUACGGGAGGCAGCAGUGGGGAAUAUUGCACAAUGGGCGCAAGCCUGAUGCAGCCAUGCCGCGUGUGUGAAGAAGGCCUUCGGGUUGUAAAGCACUUUCAGUCAGGAGGAAAGCGUGGUGGUUAAUACCCAUCAUGUGUGACGUUACUGACAGAAGAAGCACCGGCUAACUCCGUGCCAGCAGCCGCGGUAAUACGGAGGGUGCGAGCGUUAAUCGGAAUUACUGGGCGUAAAGCGUACG